UACGUAGGGUGCAAGCGUUGUCCGGAAUUAUUGGGCGUAAAGAGCUCGUAGGCGGUCUGUCGCGUCUGCUGUGAAAUCCCGGGGCUCAACUCCGGGCUUGCAGUGGAUACGGGCAGACUAGAGUUCGGUAGGGGAGACUGGAAUUCCUGGUGUAGCGGUGAAAUGCGCAGAUAUCAGGAGGAACACCGGUGGCGAAGGCGGGUCUCUGGGCCGAUACUGACGCUGAGGAGCGAAAGCGUGGGGAGCGAACAGG
rnacentral:rRNA from 1 species